UACGCAGGGUGCGAGCGUUAAUCGGAAUUACUGGCCGUAAAGCGUGCGCAGGCGGUUUGUUAACUCACAUGUGAAAGCCCCGAGCUUAACUUGGGAACUGCUUUUGAAACUGGCAAGCUAGAGUCUGUCAGAGGCGGGUAGAAUUCCACGUGUAGCAGUGAAAUGCGUACAGAUGUGGAGGAAUACCAAUGGCGAAGGCAGCCCCCCUGGGAUAACACUGACGCUCAUGCACGAAAGCGUGGAGAGCAAACAGGAUUAGAUACCCUGGUAGUCCACGCCCUAAACGAUGUCAACUGGUUGUUGGGCAACUUGAUUGUUCAGUAACGAAGCUAACGCGAGAAGUUGACCGCCUGGGGAGUACGGUCGCAAGAUUAAAACUCAAAGGAAUUGACGGGGACCCGCACAAGCGGUGGAUGAUGUGGAUUAAUUCGAUGCAACGCGAAAAACCUUACCUACCCUUGACAUGUACGGAAGUCUGCUGAGAGGUGGAUGUGCCUGAAAGGGAACCGUAACACAGGUGCUGCAUGGCUGUCGUCAGCUCGUGUCGUGAGAUGUUGGGUUAAGUCCCGCAACGAGCGCAACCCGUGGUAUUAAUUGCCAUCAUUAAGUUGGGCACUUUAAUAGGACUGCUGGUGAUAAACCGGAGGAAGGUGGGGAUGACGUCAAGUCCUCAUGGCCCUUAUGGGUAGGGCCUCACACCUCAUACAAUGGCCGGUACAGAGGGAUGUCAUCCCGCGAGGGGGAGCCAAUCACAGAAAGCCGGUCGUAGUCCGGAUUGUUCUCUGCAACUCGAGAGCAUGAAGUCGGAAUCGGUAGUAAUCGCGGAUCAGCAUGUCGCGGAGAAUACGUUCCCGGGUGU
rnacentral:rRNA from 1 species